rnacentral:rRNA from 1 species
UGCAGUCGAACGAGAAAGCACCUUCGGGUGUGAGUAGAGUGGCGCACGGGUGAGUAACGCGUGGGUAAUCUGCCCUUGAGUUUGGGAUAACCCGUCGAAAGAUGGGCUAAUACCGGAUAAUAUGAGUUAACAUAAGCUAACUCAUCAAAGGAUUUAUUCGCUUAGGGAUGAGCCCGCGUCUGAUUAGCUAGUUGGUGGGGUAAAAGCCUACCAAGGCAACGAUCAGUAGCUGGUCUGAGAGGAUGAUCAGCCACACUGGAACUGAAACACGGUCCAGACUCCUACGGGAGGCAGCAGUGGGGAAUAUUGCGCAAUGGGGGAAACCCUGACGCAGCGACGCCGCGUGGGUGAGGAAGGCCUUCGGGUCGUAAAGCCCUGUUGAGGGGGAAGAAGAAGUGACGGUACCCCUCGAGGAAGCACCGGCUAACUCCGUGCCAGCAGCCGCGGUAAUACGGAGGGUGCAAGCGUUGUUCGGAUUUAUUGGGCGUAAAGAGCAUGUAGGCGGUCUGUUAAGUCAGAGGUGAAAGUCCCGGGCUCAACCCGGGAAGUGCCUUUGAUACUGGCAGACUUGAGUACGGGAGAGGGUGGCGGAAUUCCAUGUGUAGAGGUGAAAUUCGUAGAUACAUGGAGGAACACCGGUGGCGAAGGCGGCUACCUGGACCGAUACUGACGCUGAGAUGCGAAAGCGUGGGGAGCAAACGGGAUUAGAUACCCCGGUAG